UUCAGUUUUCGCCUCUCCAUGCAGUGAUGCUGUCUGCUGGUCCCAAAGGAGCUGUGUUUGCCAUCCCUGACCAGAGCGUCGUCAGAGCCUGCUGCAGCCGGGAGCUGUGCUUGCCUAAGAGCCAGGAGCAACUGGUCCCAAGUGGGCAUUACAGGGUUAACUCGUGUAUCUGGCCAAGGCAUGGAAUCAAAACAGAGAAUGCUGAUUCACCCUGCAGUGGAGCAUGCCUAACGUGUCAACAGCUAAAGGGCCAGUGACAGUGUGGUUGUCUGGGCAACGGAAGAAGUCACCCACACAGUCACUUAAAGGACCUUAUGUAUCUUAUGAGAGGAACAGUUUUCAAUGAAAUGGACAUUAAAACACACACCUGGAUUCCCUUUACCAGAGGUGCUUUGAGAGACACCAUCAAGGACAGUGAGCUAAUGCAGGUAACUCAGGUAACAGGACAGUGAGUUAAUGCAGGUAACACAGGUGACAGAGUUGGGGGCUAAUACAGGUAACAUAAGAAAGUGAGUUAACUCAGGUAAUAUAGCUAAGCCAGGUUACCCAGCUUACAUAGCCCACGCCUGGCAGUGGGCUAACACAGUUAACUCAGGUGCUCAGCUUGGGCACACCCCCAAGGCGCCCUCCCGCCUCGCUGCAGUGCUCUGGUGGCUAUUUACAUGUGCUCCUGGAUGUCUGUAUCCUGGCAUGAGAGGGGACCCUCAGAUCCUCCCUCAGCCACAUAGGGCAGACAUCUGCCACGUGGCUUCAGCCGCAGCUGUCAGUUGAUUGGCCAGCCAGGCCGUACUUGGGAUAGUCUACCUGGUCCUCCAUGAGGCCCAGCCCCUCUGACAAGCCUUUGGGGGCCUGUUUAUUUGCUCAGCCUGUCUGCUGCUAUUUGUCACAUGCUAGCAUUGGUGUGGCAGCCGCUUCCCUGAGUCCUAGAGUAGGAAAGUUCUGGAGACGAGGCCGUUGCCUAUGGGAGACCCUGCAGCCUGGAAGGGAAGGUGCCUGUGUGGUCCAGCCCGAGCGGCAGAAACUUGGGUCUGCUCUGUGUGUUUUAUCUACAAGUGUCCGCUUGGUUCCUCACUGACAGCAGAAGUCCAAGAGAGUCAUAACAACUGACUAAACAACACAGAGUCUGAGCAAACGUUACAGAAUAGGGGAAAUUGCAGUGAAAUUCUGGAAAAGGAAAUAUGCUUAACUGAGACAACGAGGAACCUUGCUUCUGAAGGAAGGGGUAGGGUGCCAUCUGGAAAGUUCUAGAAGACAAAGCACUAGCAAAAGGCAAGAACAUACUGUGAGCAACUCAGGAGAGGGAUUCUGCAUUUUUUGUUUGUUUGUUUUUUUAAUCCAUUAGGACAAUCCUGUACUGAAGAGAGCGUGGGGCUCUGGGCAAACCCUCCUCUUCCCCAAAUCUCUUUUUUUUUUUUUCAUUUUGUCUGGAGUAGGGCAGCCAUGGGUGAGAUGCCACUAAAGCCCCUUCCAGGACCCAUGCUGGGAGUUUUCUUUGAAGGGACACAGUGGCUGCUCCUUUCUGCCCUGAUGGCUUCCUCAUGCCUCUUCCUCCCUUGCCGGCCUAAAUCAUCUCCUUGGGACUUUGCUUGAAGUCGGCUCAGAGGCCGCCUCCAUGCCUACAUUCCUACUGUGCUGUAAAUACAAAAAGAUUCUUGCCAGAUAGGGUGGAGUGGGGUGGGUCUUACCCCGUCCCAAGAGAAAUCUAUGAACUCUGACUCAGUGAAUUAAGGAGAACCACUCCUCAGGUGUGAAGAACACAUAUGCUGCUGUGUUGAAGGUGGUGCCUGGCAACCCCAAAGCCGCCCCCAGGAGCCCCAGGAGCAGCCGUUGGGGGCUGAGCUGCCUGUGGUCCAGUAACCUGCGUCAGGCUGGCUUGCAGGAUGUGAGGGCCCUCACGCUGGUUUGGCAAAAUUUAGCUAAAAAAUAUUCAAACUUCCUUAGCGCAAAAAUACUCUUUUUCAAACAAUCUUAUACGGAGCCUGAAUUUAUAAAAUUCCUAUAUUAAAGAUAGCAUUUUGUAAAU